rnacentral:hammerhead_ribozyme from 1 species
AUCCAGACGACGAGUCCCAAAUAGGACGAAACGCGCGUCCUCGAU